rnacentral:rRNA from 1 species
GCCAGCAGCCAUACCACUGAAGCUCAGCAGGUGUGAGCCUGGUCAGUACCUGGUUGGGAGACCUCCAGGGAAAAACUAAGGUUGCUGCUGGAA